rnacentral:antisense_RNA from 1 species
GCUCUCGAAGGCGUCCUCCACGCAGCGGAACACGCAGCCGAGCUUGGGCCGGGCCAGAGGCCUCGCGGGCUCCUGAGGCUGCCGCGCGGUCAUGGCAGGAGCGGGCGACAGGAUCCGGUCUCGGAGCCUCCUGUAGCGAGCCACAGGAGGGAGCCUCCCCGGUGGUCGACCGGAGCCAGGUGCUGCCAGGCACCCGACUGCAGAGCUUGCCCUCCAGGUGAUCUCGCAGUACCGGUGUUCACAAGCCCUGUAAGGCACUCGGGGUAUCCUGAAGGCUACAGAUUCUGCGAGGGCAGAGACUUUAAGGAACAGCCAUAGUCCUUCUCCAGCUCAAAAUCUAGACCAUGGGCACAAGGUAAACACCACACUGGUAUCAACAAAGGGAUCUGCUAUUUAUGUGGAUUUUUACCUUAGACAAACUAAAGUAUCUAUGUUGUUCUGUGUGUUGAACACAGAGUGUGAUGAUGUUAAUACAAUAUAAUG